GACGAACGCUGGCGGCGUGCUUAACACAUGCAAGUCGAACGGAAAGGCCCUGCUUUUGUGGGGUGCUCGAGUGGCGAACGGGUGAGUAACACGUGAGUAACCUGCCCUUGACUUUGGGAUAACUUCAGGAAACUGGGGCUAAUACCGGAUAGGAGCUCCUGCUGCAUGGUGGGGGUUGGAAAGUUUCGGCGGUUGGGGAUGGACUCGCGGCUUAUCAGCUUGUUGGUGGGGUAGUGGCUUACCAAGGCUUUGACGGGUAGCCGGCCUGAGAGGGUGACCGGCCACAUUGGGACUGAGAUACGGCCCAGACUCCUACGGGAGGCAGUAGUGGGGAAUAUUGCACAAUGGGCGGAAGCCUGAUGCAGCAACGCCGCGUGCGGGACGACGGCCUUCGGGUUGUAAACCGCUUUCGCCUGUGACGAAGCGUGAGUGACGGUAAUGGGUAAAGAAGCACCGGCUAACUACGUG
rnacentral:rRNA from 1 species